UUACACCUAUCACCAUUUCUAGCCACUGGGGGACCAUAGGCAGGCUGGGGGAACUCAUAUUAAUGUUAAAAAAAACCUCAAAGCGUAAUUUUCAUGCUAUGGGACCUUAUGAAAAUAAGCUGUGAGGUUGGUUUUCUAAAGUAAAACUGGAUAUGUCUUGCUCUAUCCCUCACAUGAUGCAUUGCUGUAGAUUAAACUACCCAACAUUUGUAGUUGUACUUGUAGUGGAGUAUUUUCACACUGUGGUAUAAGUAUUUUACUUAAGUGAAGGAUCUAAAUAGUUCUUUCACCACUGCACGUAUGUACAAAGUAUGAAUUUAAUAUUACAGUGAUCUAAAAAAUCUUGAUAAUAAAAUAAAUUACUGUUGUGUAUAUCUUUUCUUGUAAAAUGAAACUGAAAAUCCUCUCCUCUCUCGCCCCAAUGUUUUUGUCUACCUCGUCUCUACGUUGCUGCUGGACCAUCAGUGUUGGUUACCCCCGUGGCAACUCGACAGUCCGCUGGCCUCCAGCUCCUCUCCCUCUCCCUCUCCAUCUAUCUAUGAGAUCAUUCACCUCUCUCCUAUCACUCUACCCACUCAUCCCUUAAUAUAAGACGUUCUAUCUCUCCUGUCAAAUCUAAUACAUCUAUCUAAUUUUGAGGUUUUCUAUCUCUCCUGUCAUAUCUAAUAUAUCUAUCUAAAUUUUGGAAAUUCUAUCAUUCUAUCCCUCUAAUUCUAUCCCGCUCUAUCUCCUUGCAUUCUUGCAAGAAACCUGUUUUUUUGGAACGAUAUAUUUGAAACUUGUCUUUUGGAACCUGAUAUUAACAGAUUACUGGUAUCUGUUUUGGAUUCAUGGGUUGAUUGGAACCUGAUCAUUCUGUUUUAUGGUUCUGUGAGUUUCUCUGCUCACACUUUUUCUACCUCUCCUGUCUCUCUCUCACACACAUUUGAUUUGGCCUUUUCAAUUGGCAAAAACCUUAUUAUUGUAUUUUUGAAUUGUCCAUAUUGUAUCAAUAUUCUAUUUGGUAACAGUCAUAAUUAAAUAAAUUAUUAAGUAUUUU